rnacentral:sRNA from 1 species
GCUGGGUGUGGUAGUGCAUACCUGUAAUCCCAGCCACUCAGGAGGCUGAGGCAGGAGGAUCACAAGUCCAAAGUCAGCCUCAG